rfam:Oryza sativa (indica cultivar-group) chromosome 2, whole genome shotgun sequence.
AAUAAACCCUGAGUUUCCGUAUCCAACAUUUAACCGUCCGUCUUAUUUGAAAAAAAAUAUGAAAAAAAUUAAAAAGAUAAAUCACGCAUAAAGUAUUAAUCAUGUUUUAUCAUCUAACAACAAUGAAAAUACUAAUUAUAAAAAAAAUUCAUAUAAAACGGACAAUGAAACAUUGGACACUGAAACACAGGAUUUGUCUUUUU